AUGCGAUAAGUAAUGUGAAUUGCAGAAUUCAGUGAAUCAUCGAAUCUUUGAACGCAUAUUGCGCUCUCCGGCAUUCCGGAGAGCAUGCCUGUUUGAGUAUUGGCCUAAAUGAGAGUCUUCCUUUAAAGAUAUAAAAAAGAACGUUAAGAACCCUCAGUUGAGACUUCUCGACAAUUCAUUGCCGAGUGUUUUAAAAUGCAAUAGUACCGCCACGUUUGCGAACUUGGAGUAAUAUGUGAGCCUGAAAAGGUGACCUCUAUUCUCCUCGGACCACGUAGACUUGUUGAGCGGGAAGUUUUUGAAUGCUGAAUUAUGGGAGACGGUGUUCAAUUGUUCGAGUAACGACGAACGAAAUAAACUCAAUCUCAAAUCAGGUAGGAUUACCCGCUGAACUUAA
rnacentral:misc_RNA from 1 species